ACAAAGAAAGCUGAAAUCUCCUUCGUUCCCUUCCUAUGCGCUUUGGAGAGUAACAAAACCAAUCUAUCAUUUUCCUUCCAGUACUGAAAUCAACCACUUAUGUAUCACACAAAUCGUGACCAUCAGGAUGAAAAACUAAACACUUAAUUAUACUCCUCUUUUCCCUUCUACUCGUUCGGCUGUGUAUCACAGAGUCAAGAGAUUUCAACUUGAGCCAUCCUCCAUUUCUCCCCUCUUGUCCAGUCGUUCAUCACCAUUCAAGGAGCGUAAGUUCAAGCUAUUGGAAUAUUAGGAGAGUGGAGUUGCCGUUAUCUUUCUGGUCUGCUAGUUGUCUCCACACGAGGAGUUAAAGACCGAAGAUCAAGCUUCUUUUCCCCACUGUACGGUGCAAAGACCUCUAAUCAAAGGGGGCUGAUUGGUGAUGUGUAAUUAAAAAGGUUAAAGACUCGAGGAGGACGCAAAAGCAUAUGAGGACAUGGAUUAUUUGGAUUUUUGCUGUUAAAUUCUGCUGUUUGGACUUGCAGCUGUUGCUGUUUUAUUUGAUGGAUGACUGUAAUAUUUUGAGAAGUUUGGAUUAACUGUUGAACUAUGAUUUUACUGCUGUCUUAAGACUUUAUGAUCAGUUAGUGCUUUGAGUAAAAUUUUGAA